CGGGAGCGGUGCUGAGGACAGCGGCGCCGGAGAGGUCGCUCACUGAAAGUGCUGAAUUAAGAUGGUGAAUUUUGCUGGACAGAGCAGAGCGCUUGUCUAAUGAAACCUCUGAAGUGCCAGGCAGGAGCCGGGCAGCGGUACUGCAGCUCGUCUGGCAGCUUUGCAGCUGAGUUGGAAGUAGAAGAUGUGGCUGUGAAAGAAGAAGUCAGUUGCUGGGACGUCCCCCCUGUUUUCCCCUAGCUGUCCCCUUGCCUCAGCCUGGAUUCCCCUUGCAUUCCUGUAGGAUUCCCUUCCAUCCUCCUGGUUGUCCCUUGC
ensembl:lncRNA